rnacentral:misc_RNA from 1 species
GCAAACUUGGUCAUUUAGAGGAAGUAAAAGUCGUAACAAGGUUUCCGUAGGUGAACCUGCGGAAGGAUCAUUAUUGAAAUAAAAAAAAAUUGGUUGAGUGUGUUUUCUUUUGUUUCUUUUUUUUUUCAAAGAAGCAAACUAAAAAGGGGGCACGCUCUGACCUUUUUUUCUUUUUUCACAACCACCUGUGCAUAUCGCAUGAAUCUGUAGCUGUUUCAAGUCUUAUUGAUAUUGGUUUACGAGAACUGCUUCUAUUUUUGAAAGAAGAGAGGCUUUGUCUUGAGUUUUUCAGCUUCAUGUUUUCACACACAUUUUUUUGCACCUGUCAUUGGAAUGUUUUGUAACAGACUUUUUUUGGUCUAUUAUAAAAAGUACAACUUUCAACAACGGAUCUCUUGGCUCUCGCAUCGAUGAAGAACGCAGC